AUACGUAGGGGGCGAGCGUUGUCCGGAAUGAUUGGGCGUAAAGGGCGCGUAGGCGGCGCGGUAAGACUGGAGUGAAAGUCCUGCUUUCAAGGUGGGAAUUGCUUUGGAUACUGCCGCGCUUGAGUGCAGGAGAGGUUAUCGGAAUUCCCGGCGUAGCGGUGAAAUGCGUAGAGAUCGGGAGGAACACCAGUGGCGACGGCGGGUAACUGGACUGCAACUGACGCUGAGGCGCGAAAGUGUGGGGAGCAAACAGGAUUAGAUACCCUGGCAGUCCACACUGUAAACGAUGAAUGCUAGGUGUAAGAGGUAUCGACCCCUUUUGUGCCGGAGUCAACACAAUAAGCAUUCCGCCUGGGGAGUACGGCCGCAAGGUUGAAACUCAAAUGAAUUGACGGGG
rnacentral:rRNA from 1 species